rnacentral:lncRNA from 1 species
CGAGCCUCCCGGAUUUAAAGCGGCAGGAGCUGGUAAUCCACCCGCCUUGGCCUCCCAAAGUGCUGGGAUUACAGGUGUGAGCCACCAUGCCCAGCCAGAAACUGCCACUUUUAAACCAUCAGAUCUCAUUGAGAACUCCCUCACUAUCACGAGAACCGCAUGAGGGAAACCACCCCCAUGAUCUGAUCACCUCCCACCAGGUCCUGCCCUCAACAUGUGGGGAUUACAAUUCAAGAUGAGAUUUGGGUCAGGAAACAGAGCCAAACCAUAUCAAGAGCCUCUGGUAACCACUGUUCUACUCAAUACUUCUAUGAGGUGAACUUCUUUGGAUUCCACAUAUGAUCAAGAUCAUGAGGAAGGAGGAGCAAGUCUUCUUUGUCAUGCUAUUAAGAAAAUACCCAGAGUCACAGCACCAUGAUCUCCUUGUGAAGCAGAACAAGUAAUAUAAAACUGAUCUAAAGAGGCCUCCCCUCUACUCUUAUCUGUCUGGUCGAGUCAUUUGGGUCCAAGUGGGCACCAUUGUGGGAGGGUGGGAGGACUCAUCACUGGGGGCCCAGGCAUCAUUGGCAUGUGGCCUCCUGUGUUAGUUUGUUCUCAUGCUGCAAAUAAAGACAACUUGAGACUGGAUAAUU